AGUUCUCGCGGACGAGGAUUUGCGCGUUGGCCCCAGAGGCUGGACUUUAUUUCCCAGAAAGCCUUGAGGCGUAACUUUCUGUUUCCAUAGAACUGGUGGGAAAAUGGCGUCGUUGUUUGUAUCCAGGGACCAAUAGGAACAGUGUAUAGGCGGGUUCUAAAGAACUUUAACCAAUCCAAGGUCGUCUAAGAGGCCAUCCGGGAAAGAGGUAGGGGAGGGGGAAAAAAAAUCUAGGGGAGGGGAGAAGAGGGGGGGGAACCUAGAGUCGGUGGGGGGGAAGCGAUGUUUGCCCGUCAGUCGAGUCCGGAGUGAGGAGCUCGGUCGCCGAAGCGGAGGGAGACUCUUGAGCUUCAUCUUGCCGCCGCCACGGCCACCGCCUGGACCUUUGCCCGGAGGGAGCUGCAGAGGGUCCAUCGCCGCCGUCCUCUGGAGGGCAGCGCGAUUGGGGGCCCGGACCUCCAGUCCGGGGGGGAUUUUUCGUCGUCCCCCUCCCCCCAACCAGGGAGCCCGAGCGGCCGCCAAACAAAGGUACCAGUCGCCGCCGCGGGAGGAGGAGGAGCCGGAGCCUCUGCCUCAGCAGCCGCUGGACCCGCCGCCCUUCUUCCCCAUCUCUCCCCCGGGCCUGCUGGUUUUGGGGGGGAGAAGGAGAGAGGGGACUCUGGACGUGCCAGGGUCAGAUCUCGCCUCCGAGGAAGGUGCAGCUGAACCUGGUGUUUUAGAGGAUACCUUGGUCCCAGAGUCAUCAUGAAGGCCCUUGAUGAGCCUCCUUAUUUGACAGUGGGCACUGAUGUGAGUGCUAAAUACAGAGGAGCCUUUUGUGAAGCCAAGAUCAAGACAGCAAAAAGACUUGUCAAAGUCAAGGUGACAUUUAGACAUGAUUCUUCAACAGUGGAAGUUCAGGAUGACCACAUAAAGGGCCCACUAAAGGUAGGAGCUAUUGUGGAAGUGAAGAAUCUUGAUGGUGCGUAUCAGGAAGCUGUUAUCAAUAAACUAACAGAUGCGAGUUGGUACACUGUAGUUUUUGAUGACGGAGAUGAGAAGACACUGAGACGAUCUUCACUGUGCCUGAAAGGAGAGAGGCAUUUUGCUGAAAGUGAAACAUUAGACCAGCUCCCACUCACCAACCCUGAGCAUUUUGGCACUCCAGUCAUAGGAAAGAAAACAAAUAGAGGAAGAAGAUCUAAUCAUAUACCAGAGGAAGAGUCUUCAUCAUCCUCCAGUGAUGAAGAUGAGGAUGAUAGGAAACAGAUUGAUGAGCUACUAGGCAAAGUUGUAUGUGUAGAUUACAUUAGUUUGGAUAAAAAGAAAGCACUGUGGUUUCCUGCAUUGGUGGUUUGUCCUGAUUGUAGUGAUGAGAUUGCUGUAAAAAAGGACAAUAUUCUUGUUCGAUCUUUCAAAGAUGGAAAAUUUACUUCAGUUCCAAGAAAAGAUGUCCAUGAAAUUACUAGUGACACUGCACCAAAGCCUGAUGCUGUUUUAAAGCAAGCCUUUGAACAGGCACUUGAAUUUCACAAAAGUAGAACUAUUCCUGCUAACUGGAAGACUGAAUUGAAAGAAGAUAGCUCUAGCAGUGAAGCAGAGGAAGAAGAGGAGGAGGAAGAUGAUGAAAAAGAAAAGGAGGAUAAUAGCAGUGAAGAAGAGGAAGAAAUAGAACCAUUUCCAGAAGAAAGGGAGAACUUUCUUCAGCAGUUGUACAAAUUUAUGGAAGAUAGAGGUACACCUAUUAACAAACGACCUGUACUUGGAUAUCGAAAUUUGAAUCUCUUUAAGUUAUUCAGACUUGUACACAAACUUGGAGGAUUUGAUAAUAUUGAAAGUGGAGCUGUUUGGAAACAAGUCUACCAAGAUCUUGGAAUCCCUGUCUUAAAUUCAGCUGCAGGAUACAAUGUUAAAUGUGCUUAUAAAAAAUACUUAUAUGGUUUUGAGGAGUACUGUAGAUCAGCCAACAUUGAAUUUCAGAUGGCAUUGCCAGAGAAAGUUGUUAACAAGCAAUGUAAGGAGUGUGAAAAUGUAAAAGAAGUAAAAGUUAAGGAGGAAAAUGAAACAGAGAUCAAAGAAAUAAAGAUGGAGGAGGAGAGGAAUAUAAUACCAAAAGAAGAAAAGCCUAUUGAGGAUGAAAUUGAAAGAAAAGAAAAUAUUAAGCCCUCUCUGGGAAGUAAAAAGAAUUUAUUAGAAUCUAUACCUACACAUUCUGAUCAGGAAAAAGAAGUUAACAUUAAAAAACCAGAAGAAAAUGAAAAUCUGGACGACAAAGAUGAUGACACAACUAGGGUAGAUGAAUCCCUCAACAUAAAGGUAGAAGCUGAGGAAGAAAAAGCAAAAUCUGGAGAUGAAACGAAUAAAGAAGAAGAUGAAGAUGAUGAAGAAGCAGAAGAGGAGGAGGAGGAGGAAGAAGAAGAAGAGGAUGAAGAUGAUGAUGACAACAAUGAGGAAGAGGAGUUUGAAUGCUAUCCACCAGGCAUGAAAGUCCAAGUGCGGUAUGGACGAGGGAAAAAUCAAAAAAUGUAUGAAGCUAGUAUUAAAGAUUCUGAUGUCGAAGGUGGAGAGGUCCUUUACUUGGUGCAUUACUGCGGAUGGAAUGUGAGAUACGAUGAAUGGAUUAAAGCAGAUAAAAUAGUAAGACCUGCUGAUAAAAAUGUGCCAAAGAUAAAACAUCGGAAGAAAAUAAAGAAUAAAUUAGACAAAGAAAAAGACAAAGAUGAAAAAUACUCUCCAAAAAACUGUAAACUUCGGCGAUUGUCCAAACCACCAUUUCAGACAAAUCCAUCUCCUGAAAUGGUAUCCAAACUGGAUCUCACUGAUGCCAAAAACUCUGAUACUGCUCAUAUUAAGUCCAUAGAAAUUACUUCGAUCCUUAAUGGACUUCAAGCUUCUGAAAGUUCUGCUGAAGACAGUGAGCAGGAAGAUGACAGAGGUGCUCAAGACAUGGAUAAUAAUGGCAAAGAGGAAUCUAAGAUUGAUCAUUUGACCAACAACAGAAAUGAUCUUAUUUCAAAGGAGGAACAGAACAGUUCAUCUUUGCUAGAAGAAAACAAAGUUCAUGCAGAUUUGGUAAUAUCCAAACCAGUGUCAAAAUCUCCAGAAAGAUUAAGGAAAGAUAUAGAAGUAUUAUCCGAAGAUACUGAUUAUGAAGAAGAUGAAGUCACAAAAAAGAGAAAGGAUGUCAAGAAGGACACAACAGAUAAAUCUUCAAAACCACAAAUAAAACGUGGUAAAAGAAGGUAUUGCAAUACAGAAGAGUGUCUAAAAACUGGAUCACCUGGCAAAAAGGAAGAGAAGGCCAAGAACAAAGAAUCACUUUGCAUGGAAAACAGUAGCAACAGCUCUUCAGAUGAAGAUGAAGAAGAAAAAUCAAAAGCAAAGAUGACACCAACUAAGAAAUACAAUGGUUUGGAGGAAAAAAGAAAAUCUCUACGGACAACUGGUUUCUAUUCAGGAUUUUCAGAAGUGGCAGAAAAAAGGAUUAAACUUUUAAAUAACUCUGAUGAAAGACUUCAAAACAGCAGGGCCAAAGAUCGAAAAGAUGUCUGGUCAAGUAUUCAGGGACAGUGGCCUAAAAAAACGCUGAAAGAGCUUUUUUCAGACUCUGAUACUGAGGCUGCAGCUUCCCCACCGCAUCCUGCCCCAGAGGAGGGGGUGGCAGAGGAGUCACUGCAGACUGUGGCUGAAGAGGAGAGUUGUUCACCCAGUGUAGAACUAGAAAAACCACCUCCAGUCAAUGUCGAUAGUAAACCCAUUGAAGAAAAAACAGUAGAGGUCAAUGACAGAAAAGCAGAAUUUCCAAGUAGUGGCAGUAAUUCAGUGCUAAAUACCCCUCCUACUACACCUGAAUCGCCUUCAUCAGUCACUGUAACAGAAGGCAGCCGGCAGCAGUCUUCUGUAACAGUAUCAGAACCACUGGCUCCAAACCAAGAAGAGGUUCGAAGUAUCAAGAGUGAAACUGAUAGCACAAUUGAGGUGGAUAGUGUUGCUGGGGAGCUCCAAGACCUCCAGUCUGAAGGGAAUAGCUCGCCAGCAGGUUUUGAUGCCAGUGUGAGCUCAAGCAGUAGUAAUCAGCCAGAACCAGAACAUCCUGAAAAAGCCUGUACAGGUCAGAAAAGAGUGAAAGAUGCUCAGGGAGGAGGAAGUUCAUCAAAAAAGCAGAAAAGAAGCCAUAAAGCAACAGUGGUAAACAACAAAAAGAAGGGAAAAGGCAGUGCCCCACACUGACCUCCUGCUGCUCUUCCAGGAGACUCCUGCCACCUCCACUGCCUGACCUUUGCUAGCAGCCGGCUUGGCUGCACUUCAGUGCAGAAAAGGGUUAUUCGGCCAGCUCCCCGAGGUUCUGCUGAGCCCAUAUGACUUCCAGGCGCAAAUAGUAGUGAUAGUGAAGAACUUUCAGCUGGUGAAAGUAUAACUAAGAGUCAGCCAGUCAAAUCAGUUUCCACUGGAAUGAAGUCUCAUAGUACCAAAUCUCCCGCAAGGACGCAGUCUCCAGGAAAAUGUGGAAAGAAUGGUGAUAAGGAUCCUGAUCUCAAGGAACCCAGUAAUCGAUUACCCAAAGUUUACAAAUGGAGUUUUCAGAUGUCGGACCUGGAAAAUAUGACAAGUGCCGAACGCAUCACAAUUCUUCAAGAAAAACUUCAAGAAAUCAGAAAACAUUAUCUGUCAUUAAAAUCUGAAGUAGCUUCCAUUGAUCGGAGGAGAAAGCGUUUAAAGAAGAAAGAGAGAGAAAGUGCUGCUACAUCCUCAUCCUCCUCUUCACCUUCAUCCAGUUCCAUAACAGCUGCUGUUAUGUUAACUUUAGCUGAACCGUCAAUGUCCAGCGCAUCACAAAAUGGAAUGUCAGUUGAGUGCAGGUGACAGCAGGACUUGCUAAAGCACUUUGCACUUAAUGGCUGUUGAGGGCCACUUUUUUUUUAUACUGCACAGUGGCACAAAAAAAUAUCAGACAAGCACUAUUUUAUAUUUAAAAAUUGUUUCUUGACAAGCUGACUUGGCACUUAAGUGCACUUUUUUAUGAAGAAAAAGUACAAUGAACUGCUUUUCCUCAAGCAAUAAUUGUUUCCAACUUGUCUGGGAAUUGUGUGUCUGGUAACUUGAAGGCCUUCCACUGUGGCAAAUGGAGGCUUUUCACUGCCUGUAGAGACAAUACAGUAAGCAUAGUUAAGGGGUGGGUCAGAACAUGUUAAGAUAACUUACUGUAUAUGUAUUCCCUUGUAUUUUGUUAAAGCUGGAACAUUUGAUAUUUUUCCAUUUAUUUAUGAAAAAAUAUGAACCUAUUUUCAUUUGUACAAGGUAAUUGUUUUUUAAAGCAAGUCACCUUAGGGUGGCUUUAAUUGUAUAAGUCAAGCACAUGUAAUAAAUUCAAAACCUGCAGUUAACAGGAUAUUAGACAUCAAUCCUGGUAACCAAAUAUUAAAGAUUCUCUUUAAAAAAGACUGAACAUGUUUACAGGUUUGAAUUAGGCUAAAAGGUCUUGCAGUGGCUUUUCAUGGCCCUUCAAAUUGGAAUGGAACUACUGUACUUUGCCAUUUUUCUAUAAAUCAGUAUUUUUUUUUAAUUUUGAUAUACAUUGUGUGAAAAAAGAAAAUGGCUAAUAAACUGUAUUAAAUCUUAAACAAUGUAUAAAGAUUGUACUCAGCCAGUUCAAAGUGUAUAUUUAUUCAUAAUGAAUUAUAACAGUUAUAUUUUUGUGUUUUCUUGUAAAUGUUUCUUUUCCCUUAAAUACAGAUAAUUCAUUUGUAUUGCUUAUUUUAUUAUGAGCUACAACAAAAGGACUUCAGGAACAAGUAAUGUAUUAGUAUGGUUCAAGAUUGUUGAUAGGAACUGUCUCAAAAGGAUGGUGGUUAUUUUAAAUAUAAAUAGCUAAUGGGGGUGGUAGGCCUAUAAAAUUAAAUGCCUUGUAUAAAAUCCAAAAUGAAUGCAAAAUUGUUUUCACUUGUAUUGACUUUAUGUUGUAUGAUUCCAAUCUCUGUUCUGUUUGGCACUUGUAUUUAAUUCUUCACCUUUGUAAGACAUUUGUAUAUUGCGGAUGUGUUCAUUCAAGCUAUUUAAUAUCUGGCACUGUUAAUACACAGUACUUUAUUGUACAGACUGUUUUACUGUUUUAAUUGUAGUUCUGUGUACUUUUUUUGGAUGGGGCUGGCAUGUUUUCUUUGUUUUCUGGCAAUACGACGUGGGAAUUUCAAUGCGUUUUGUUGUAGAUGCUAACGUGUCAGAAUCCUUUACAUUCAACUUUUCUAAGAAAAGCAUUUUCAGUCUUGUAGUGUGUGCUUACAGUAACUAAUUUUGUUGAAAAUGGUUUCAAGUUACUCAAAUUUGUACAGGACUGUAAAGAUUUGUUGACAGCAAAAUGUUGAAGAAAAAAGCUUAUAGAAUAAAAGCUAUAAAGUAUAUAUUAGGAUCUGCAAACAAUGAAGAAUUAUGUAAUAUAUUGUACAAAUGUAAGCAAAGGCUCUGAAAUAAAAUGCCAUAGUUUGUGAAUCCUUGA